rnacentral:rRNA from 1 species
AUUGAACGCUGGCGGCAGGCCUAACACAUGCAAGUCGAACGAGUGGCGGACGGGUGAGUAAUGUCUGGGAAACUGCCCGAUGGAUGGGGAUAACUACUGGAAACGGUAGCUAAUACCGCAUACCAUCGGAUGUGCCCAGAUGGGAUUAGCUAGUAGGUGGGGUAAAGGCUCACCUAGGCGACGAUCCCUAGCUGGUCUGAGAGGAUGACCAGCAAGAAUGGAACGGAGACACGGUCCAGACGCCGACGCGAGGCAGCAGUGGGGAAUAUGGCAAAAGGGGCGCAAGCCUGAUGCAGCCAUGCCGCGGGUAUGAAGAAGGCUUUCGUGUGUGAAAGGAAGUUAAGCGGGGAGGAGGUACACGCAGAAGAAGCACCGGCUAACUCAGUGCCAGCAGCCGCGGUAAUAC